AUUGAACGCUGGCGGCAGGCCUAACACAUGCCAGACGAACGGUAACAGGAAGCAGCUUGCUGCUUCGCUGACGAGUGGCGGACGGGUGAGUAAUGUCUGGGAAACUGCCUGAUGGAGGGGGAUAACUACUGGAAACGGUAGCUAAUACCGCAUAACGUCGCAAGACCAAAGAGGGGGACCUUAGGGCCUCUUGCCAUCGGAUGUGCCCAGAUGGGAUUAGCUAGUAGGUGGGGUAACGGCUCACCUAGGCGACGAUCCCUAGCUGGUCUGAGAGGAUGACCAGCCACACUGGAACUGAGACACGGUCCAGACUCCUACGGGAGGCAGCAGUGGGGAAUAUUGCACAAUGGGCGCAAGCCUGAUGCAGCCAUGCCGCGUGUAUGAAGAAGGCCUUCGGGUUGUAAAGUACUUUCAGCGGGGAGGAAGGGAGUAAAGUUAAUACCUUUGCUCAUUGACGUUACCCGCAGAAGAAGCACCGGCUAACUCCGUG
rnacentral:rRNA from 1 species